AUUGAACGCUGGCGGCAUGCUUUACACAUGCAAGUCGAACGGCAGCGCGGGGGCAACCCUGGCGGCGAGUGGCGAACGGGUGAGUAAUGUAUCGGAACGUAUCCUGUAAUGGGGGAUAACCAGUCGAAAGAUUGGGUAAUACCGCAUACGCACGAGAGUGGAAAGUAGGGGAUCGCAAGACCUUACGUUAUAGGAGCGGCCGAUAUCUGAUUAGCUAGUUGGUGGGGUAAAGGCCUACCAAGGCGACGAUCAGUAGCUGGUCUGAGAGGAUGAUCAGCCACACUGGGACUGAGACACGGCCCAGACUCCUACGGGAGGCAGCAGUGGGGAAUUUUGGACAAUGGGCGAAAGCCUGAUCCAGCCAUGCCGCGUGCGGGAAGAA
rnacentral:rRNA from 1 species